CGCGGAUAUUGAAUUUUACAUUUUUAUAUAUUGUUUAAUGACAUUUCUAAAUAUAUGUGUUAUUUGGAUAUCUAUAGGUUCUUACAAACUUACCUUGACCUGAAAGGAUCCGUUUCGAACCUAUCCGGACCUGAAAGGAUAAAAUCUUUCGGGUUUUACUAAAGAGAGUGCCACUCUGAAUCAAGGCCAGAUGUCCUACUCGAAGAAUUUGUAGCUGUAAACCCUGCUCUUUACUUAUCCUUCUAUUUUUAUAUCUCACACGUCAAUAUGCGUGUCUGCUUUAAUAGAAUAGAGAUAUGAUUAUCUCUUAUUAUGGGAGUCAAAAAGGAGCUGCAGAGGCUCGAUGAGAGCUCCUUUUUCUUUUUGUUUAUAAUGAAGCGAAAGGUUUGUCUCACAAAAAUGAGAGUCACUCGGAAAGUCUUAACUAACUUAGUUGAACUCACAUAGAAGGAAUCUCAUCCCUUAGGUAAACAUCAUCCUUCUGAAACACAAACCAUUCCUGCUUCUCAGAAAUUUCUUCAUCUCGUGUAAAGAAACCACCAUCUUACUUGCAAGAUUAUAUUUGCACAUCAAUACAAUCUUCAUAUCUUUAUCCUAUAUCAUCAUCCCUUUCAUAUUUUCUCUUGUCUUCGUAUCUUUCUUUCAUCAAUCAUAUUACUAGUAUACCUAUUCCAUCAUCAUUUGCUGAGGCUCGGAAAUCCAAGGAAUUUUGUGAGUCUGUUGAUAAGGAAAACGAUGCAGUGGAAAUCACCACUACUUGGGAUGUUACUAGUUUUCCUCCAUGGAAGAAAGAUGUGGUCCAGGAGUGUUUUGGAGAAAAAUGAUGAUUUGAGUGCAUUUUAGAGAUAAAAUGAAAAGAAGCUCGUAGCUGACCAUCGAACCUGUCUGAAGGUCGACAAUCAGAGUCAAACAUCGAUCGACGCACAUCCUGUGACGUCGAUCGACAGCGAAGCGCGCAAAACCCGGCUAGGUUUCCAGCCGACUUAAAUCCCAAGUCUCUACACAUUUACAGAAAUACUCCUGGCUGACUUUUAACCUAAUAUUUAUCUUCUCUGUCAUUAUUCUAGGAAACACACGCUUUUAUACUUUCUACUUUUCAUAGCAAACAAUACUUAGAGUUUUUUAGUAGUUUGGAGAGAAAAUCCAAGACUCCUUCAGAGAUUUGUAUUGGAACUCCAGUAUUUCUAACUCUAUCUAUUUAUGCAUUUUAUUCAGUUUA